AAUGAACGCUGGCGGCAUGCCUAACACAUGCAAGUCGAACGAAGGCUUCGGCCUUAGUGGCGCACGGGUGCGUAACGCGUGGGAAUCUGCCCUCAGGUUCGGAAUAACAGCGAGAAGUUGCUGCUAAUACCGGAUGAUAUCGCGAGAUCAAAGAUUUAUCGCCUGAGGAUGAGCCCGCGUAGGAUUAGCUAGUUGGUGUGGUAAAGGCGCACCAAGGCGACGAUCCUUAGCUGGUCUGAGAGGAUGAUCAGCCACACUGGGACUGAGACACGGCCCAGACUCCUACGGGAGGCAGCAGUGGGGAAUAUUGGACAAUGGGCGAAAGCCUGAUCCAGCAAUGCCGCGUGAGUGAUGAAGGCCUUAGGGUUGUAAAGCUCUUUUACCCGGGAUGAUAAUGACAGUACCGGGAGAAUAAGCUCCGGCUAACUCCGUGCCAGCCGCCGCCGUAACAC
rnacentral:rRNA from 1 species